ACCCCCGGUAGUGCAGCGGUUAGCACGCGCCUCCGGAAAGGAUGAGACGCGGGUUCAAAUCCUGACUGAGGUU